CCCCAAGGAUUAUCAAGCUGCUCUGGUUGACCCGUUAUAACCAGACGUCCAGCGGGAUCUGAUUGAACUCGCACCUGAAAUCACCAAGAAGCUAGAUUAUAUAAAAGAAAAUGUCAAGAGUGGGGUUCUGCCUCCCUUUUUUCUGCAACAUGCUGCCAAAGUUCAAAGGAUAAAAAAUAGCAUAGAAUCUUGUGCAGAAACAGGGUCAUGUAUGUUUCUGUUAAACAGCAUGGAUUUACAAUAGGAGCAAAAACACCCAGAAAAUAAUGCAAUCAUGCAAUGUCCUCUCUGCAUACA